rnacentral:rRNA from 1 species
AUGAACGUGGAUUACCUCACCAGAGAGAGUAUCGCAAGUCAUCUACAGAAGUAUAGGUUGCACUUGAGAAGAGUCAAAUCAAAUCCAGUUGGUGAUGCCUCUGAAAGACAUAACUCAUCCUACAACAACAUGAACAACCAGGGGAGUUUCAUGCGUAACCAUGAACAUGAAAGAUGGUGUAUGUCCUCUGGUUUUUUAAGUCCAAACAAUUUUUCUGCAAUGGGUCACUUAGCUCAGCCGGCGAACACACAUAGAAACUCAUGCACGGGGUCAUUCAUCCAUGAUGGUAGAAUGUACAAGUAUGUCGCACCAAAACUGUCGGAUGCGGGAAGAUUCGCUGGCUCCAUUGACCCUCCUACCAACCUAUACAACAACAUACCCAAUGAAACAACUUUAGAAGAAUUUCCUUCAUAUAGUUUUGGUGAUUCCUAUGCGGGCCGCAUGCGUGGUAAGCUGGUGGAGACAAACAAAGGCAAGUUUCCAGACCCUUCAUACAAUUCUGCAACACAUGCGACGUUGACUGGUGUUCUUCAUAGAGGCUUCAAUGAGCAGAUUGUUCCAAAAAAUGCACCUAGCAACCAAAGCUUCAUAGGGAUGUUGAAUCCCUGCGGCAGUCAUCCAGUGUCAUCAUCUGAGAUGGUUAAGGGAGGGAGCAGCAGUAUGUCAUUAGAUGGCUUGAGUGAGCGGAUGGCACCAUUCAACAUAGCAAAAAACACAAGCUCAGUCGGAAUGAUGUUGAAUGAAAACACCGCACCUGGUAAUGGUAGAAUCUCAAUGACACAUACAGAUAUGGUUAAUAGUGGAAGAACUAUUUCUACACUUCCCAACCACCAGACAGAAAAUGUCGUCGCAAUGACUGACAAGGUUGAUGGCGGGGAUGCAGUUAGCUAUCACCCUAUGCAAGUGGGUACCAUUGGUCAGCAUGCACUUAAUGAUCAAUUUAAUGACAUCAAUGACUUCUCAUGGGAUGAUUUUUUUUCUCAACCCGCUGGAUGCAGAUUUCACUAUCGAGGAUGA